CCGGUAAACGGCGGCCGUAACUAUAACGGUCCUAAGGUAGCGAAAUUCCUUGUCGGGUAAGUUCCGACCUGCACGAAUGGCGUAAUGAUGGCCAGGCUGUCUCCACCCGAGACUCAGUGAAAUUGAACUCGCUGUGAAGAUGCAGUGUACCCGCGGCAAGACGGAAAGACCCCGUGAACCUUUACUAUAGCUUGACACUGAACAUUGAGCCUUGAUGUGUAGGAUAGGUGGGAGGCUUUGAAGUGUGGACGCCAGUCUGCAUGGAGCCGACCUUGAAAUACCACCCUUUAAUGUUUGAUGUUCUAACGUUGGCCCCUGAUCGGGGUUGCGGACAGUGUCUGGUGGGUAGUUUGACUGGGGCGGUCUCCUCCUAAAGAGUAACGGAGGAGCACGAAGGUUGGCUAAUCCUGGUCGGACAUCAGGAGGUUAGUGCAAUGGCAUAAGCCAGCUUGACUGCGAGCGUGACGGCGCGAGCAGGUGCGAAAGCAGGUCAUAGUGAUCCGGUGGUUCUGAAUGGAAGGGCCAUCGCUCAACGGAUAAAAGGUACUCCGGGGAUAACAGGCUGAUACCGCCCAAGAGUUCAUAUCGACGGCGGUGUUUGGCACCUCGAUGUCGGCUCAUCACAUCCUGGGGCUGAAGUAGGUCCCAAGGGUAUGGCUGUUCGCCAUUUAAAGUGGUACGCGAGCUGGGUUUAGAACGUCGUGAGACAGUUCGGUCCCUAUCUGCCGUGGGCGCUGGAGAACUGAGGGGGGCUGCUCCUAGUACGAGAGGACCGGAGUGGACGCAUCACUGGUGUUCGGGUUGUCAUGCCAAUGGCACUGCCCGGUAGCUAAAUGCGGAAGAGAUAAGUGCUGAAAGCAUCUAAGCACGAAACUUGCCCCGAGAUGAGUUCUCCCUGACUCCUUGAGAGUCCUGAAGGAACGUUGAAGACGACGACGUUGA
rnacentral:rRNA from 1 species